AUGAACGCUAGCUACAGGCUUAACACAUGCAAGUCGAGGGGCAGCAUGAACUUAGCUUGCUAAGUUUGAUGACGACCGGCGCACGGGUGAGUAACACGUAUCCAACCUGCCGAUGACUCGGGGAUAGCCUUUCGAAAGAAAGAUUAAUACCCGAUGGCAUAGUUCUUCCGCAUGGUAGAACUAUUAAAGAAUUUCGGUCAUCGAUGGGGAUGCGUUCCAUUAGGUUGUUGGCGGGGUAACGGCCCACCAAGCCUUCGAUGGAUAGGGGUUCUGAGAGGAAGGUCCCCCACAUUGGAACUGAGACACGGUCCAAACUCCUACGGGAGGCAGCAGUGAGGAAUAUUGGUCAAUGGACGAGAGUCUGAACCAGCCAAGUAGCGUGAAGGAUGACUGCCCUAUGGGUUGUAAACUUCUUUUAUACGGGAAUAAAGUGAGGCACGCGUGCCUUUUUGUAUGUACCGUAUGAAUAAGGAUCGGCUAACUCCGUGCCAGCAGCCGCGGUAAUACGGAGGAUCCGAGCGUUAUCCGGAUUUAUUGGGUUUAAAGGGAGCGUAGGCGGACGCUUAAGUCAGUUGUGAAAGUUUGCGGCUCAACCGUAAAAUUGCAGUUGAUACUGGGUGUCUUGAGUACAGUAGAGGCAGGCGGAAUUCGUGGUGUAGCGGUGAAAUGCUUAGAUAUCACGAAGAACUCCGAUUGCGAAGGCAGCCUGCUGGACUGUAACUGACGCUGAUGCUCGAAAGUGUGGGUAUCAAACAGGAUUAGAUACCCUGGUAGUCCACGCCGUAAACGAUGAAUGCUAGGUGUUGGAGGGUUUCCGCCCUUCAGUGCCGCAGCUAACGCAAUAAGCAUUCCGCCUGGGGAGUACGACCGCAAGGUUGAAACUCAAAGGAAUUGACGGGGGCCCGCACAAGCGGUGGAGUAUGUGGUUUAAUUCGACGCAACGCGAAGAACCUUACCAAGUCUUGACAUCCUGCGACGCACAUAGAAAUAUGUGUUUCCUUCGGGACGCAGAGACAGGUGGUGCAUGGUUGUCGUCAGCUCGUGUCGUGAGAUGUUGGGUUAAGUCCCGCAACGAGCGCAACCCUUAUCCUUUGUUGCCAGCGGUCCGGCCGGGAACUCAAAGGAGACUGCCAGUGAUAAACUGGAGGAAGGUGGGGAUGACGUCAAAUCAGCACGGCCCUUACGUCCGGGGCUACACACGUGUUACAAUGGGGGGUACAGAAGGCAGCUACACGGCGACGUGAUGCUAAUCCCGAAAGCCUCUCUCAGUUCGGAUUGGAGUCUGCAACCCGACUCCAUGAAGCUGGAUUCGCUAGUAAUCGCGCAUCAGCCACGGCGCGGUGAAUACGUUCCCGGGCCUUGUACACACCGCCCGUCAAGCCAUGAAAGCCGGGGGUACCUGAAGUGCGUAACCGCAAGGAGCGCCCUAGGGUAAAACUGGUGAUUGGGGCU
rnacentral:rRNA from 1 species